UAAAGGGUGGGUGGUGUUGGUCAGCUUAUAACUCCAUUCUAACCCAAAUGCAAUUCUUGUAUUCCUCACUCUGUCUCUCUGUCUCUUCUUAAUUUGGUAAACCACUUUGGUUUACCAGAAAAGCAGCAAAGCAAAGAAGAGUGAAAACAAGAAAAAAGAAAGAGGAGACUCUUUUUUUCUUGAUUUUACACACCAACCCACUCUCUAUUUUCACCUUCCGGUCCUCAACCCAACCUCCUAAAUCCAACAAAAUUCAAUACCCAGAACACCCUUGAUUUUACACACCAACCCCUCUCUAUUUUCACCUUCCAGUCCUCAACCCAACCUCCUAAAUCCAACAAAAUUCAAUACCCAGAACACCCACAUUGCCAUUUUUAUCAAUUGAGAAAACAUCCAAAGAGGAAAAAAAAUCAGAAAUUC
rnacentral:lncRNA from 1 species